UUGUCUCAGUUCGGAUUGUAGGCUGAAACUCGCCUACAUGAAGCUGGAGUUGCUAGUAAUCGCGAAUCAGCAUGUCGCGGUGAAUACGUUCCCGGGUCUUGUACACACCGCCCGUCACACCAUGGGAGUUGGUAACGCCCGAAGCCAGUGACCCAACCUUAAGAGGAGGGAGCUGUCGAAGGUGGGACCGAUAACUGGGGUGAAGUCGUAACAAGGUAAC
rnacentral:rRNA from 1 species